rnacentral:rRNA from 1 species
UACGUAGGGUGCACGCGUUGUCCGGAAUUAUUGGGCGUAAAGAGCGUGUAGGCGGCCCGAUUAGUCCGCUGUGAAAGUCCAGGGCUCAACCCUGGAAUGCCGGUGGAUACUGUCGGGCUAGAGUCCGGAAGGGGCGAGUGGAAUUCCUGGUGUAGCGGUGAAAUGCGCAGAUAUCAGGAGGAACACCAAUGGCGAAGGCAGCUCGCUGGGACGUGACUGACGCUGAGACGCGAAAGCGUGGGGAGCAAACAGG